UUCGACGGAAAUACGUUUUGGAUUAGACUCACCAAACGUCUAUGCGUAAGAGAAAGAGAAGUGCGAAAUUUUGUGACAAGAGAAAUUCGCGAAUCUUCGUCCGCAUAUACCCGGAGCCCAUGUGAGUUGAAAAUAUCGUUGCACGAAGGAAGAGACGUAGAGAAAAUACAUGUAAUUACUUUCGAUCUGCAAGAAA